GACAGAGGCCCCAAGCGUUAGGCGGAAUCACUGGGCUUAAAGCGUGUGUAGGCGGACGCCUAAGUGUCUUGUGAAAGCCCUCGGCUCAACCGGGGAACUGCAUGGGAAACUGCGGAGCUUGAGUCCGGGAGAGGUGAGUGGAAUUCCCAGUGUAGCGGUGAAAUGCGUAGAUAUUGGGAGGAACACCGGUGGCGAAGGCGGCUCACUGGACCGGUACUGACGCUGAGACGCGAAAGCGUGGGGAGCGAACAGG
rnacentral:rRNA from 1 species